rnacentral:rRNA from 1 species
AUUGAACGCUAGCGGGAUGCUUUACACAUGCAAGUCGAACGAGUGGCAGACGUGUGAGGAAUAUAUCGGAACGUGCCCAGUAGCGGGGGAUAACUCCUCGAAAGAGUGGCUAAUACCGCCUACUAUUGGAGCGUCCGUUAUCGGAUUAGCUCGUUGGUUGGUUAAAGGCUCACCAAGGCCACGAUCCGUAGCUGGUGUGAGAGGAUGACCAGCCACAAUGGGAAUGAGACACGUCCCAGACUCCUACGUGAGGCAGAAGUGGGGAAUUUUGGACAAUGGGGGAAACCCUGAUGCAGACAUCCCGCGUGUAUGAAAAGGCCUUCGGGUUGUAAAGUUCUUUUGGCAGAGAAGCGGUAUCUGCAGAAUAAGCACCGGAUAACUACGUGCCAGCCGCCGCGGUAAGUC